rnacentral:lncRNA from 1 species
UUCGCGUUUAUUUAAGAAAAAAGAUUUGAUAUUACGUUUGAUUUAGGAAAAGUCACUCGAUGUUGAUCAAUGUUUGAUUCGUAUGGACGAGACAUGAUUUGAGAAUGGUGAGAUUUUCAAAACUAACUUAAUGUUGAUCAAGUGUUUAUUCUUGUUUGAAAUGUUUUUUUGUGUGUUUAUUAGUUAUCUAACUAAAGGAAAUAAAAUAAAUAAAAAUAAAUAACAAUUACAAAUAAAGGAUGGGGGUACAUUUUG